rnacentral:rRNA from 1 species
UGGGGAAUUUUGGACAAUGGGCGAAAGCCUGAUCCAGCAAUGCCGCGUGUGUGAAGAAGGCCUUCGGGUUGUAAAGCACUUUUGUCCGGAAAGAAAUCCUUGGCUCUAAUACAGUCGGGGGAUGACGGUACCGGAAGAAUAAGCACCGGCUAACUACGUGCCAGCAACCGCGGUAAUACGUAGGGUGCAAGCGUUAAUCGGAAUUACUGGGCGUAAAGCGUGCGCAGGCGGUUUGCUAAGACCGAUGUGAAAUCCCCGGGCUCAACCUGGGAACUGCAUUGGUGACUGGCAGGCUAGAGUAUGGCAGAGGGGGGUAGAAUUCCACGUGUAGCAGUGAAAUGCGUAGAGAUGUGGAGGAAUACCGAUGGCGAAGGCAGCCCCCUGGGCCAAUACUGACGCUCAUGCACGAAAGCGUGGGGAGCAAAACAGGAUUAGAUACCCUGGUAGUCCACGCCCUAAACGAUGUCAACUAGUUGUUGGGGAUUCAUUUCCUAGUAACGUAGCUAACGCGUGAAGUUGACCGCCUGGGGAGUACGGUCGCAAGAUU